UCCAGACAGUUUCUAUUCAAAGAACCCUGCCCCCACUCCCUUCAUUAUGCAUGGACAUAGAGAUAUUAUAAGACAGGGAAGGGGUGGGGCUUUAUCAGGCAAUUUUAACUGGCCUCAGCUCUUGGUACCUGCUUUUGUGGCUCUGAUCAUCGGACCUUGUGAAAAAUAGCAAGUGCUCCAAAGCCCACAGCUUCAUUUCCCAAAUCCUCAUCUCUUCACACCCUACGGGAAGUUCUACUUGGUUGAGAAGGGCUGGAUUCACAGCCCUGGGAACCCUUAGUCUGGGGUUUGCUUUGGGUCCUUCCUCAUCUGAGAUGACAGCUGAGGACAUUCCCAGACACCACCAUGGUCCUUGGAGACCCUACCUUUUGACCAAAACAGGGCACAUCCAUCUCUGACACGAGUCUGGUCUCUGCCAGUCACAGAGAGAAGCAUCAGAAACAACGGGAGCCCAUAAAGGUCUGGAGAAAAGGUGCGGAUUCUGUGAAACACUGAAGUUGUCCCACGUGUGAGGAGAAGAACUGGAGUUCCAGCCAAAACUGGGAAAAUUUAACAAUCAGCUUGACAAUGGCCUGCCUUUUUAUGUCCUAAGAGUUCAACAAAUUAAAGAGGAAGGACAUUCCUACCAGAUGCUCAGGCAAGGGGCUUCUCAAGAGGUAAGGCUGGAGAAGAAGUCAAAGCCACAUUUGGAAGGACCUCACAAGCUAGGCUGAACACUUAGGACUUUAUCUGGAGAAUUUAAUGCAAAGCCAAAGAAGGCUGUUAAAGCAAAGUGUGAGGAAGGUGACCUUGAGGGCUCUGUGACAGCCAGACUGGCCAAAGAUGAAGCUGGAGGCAAAGAGUCUCAUUAGGAGGUCAUUGCAAUAGUCCAAGAUAUCCAUGACCAGGGCUUGAACCUGGGCACAGGUGGUGGGGAUGGAGGAGGGAUGCAUUUGAAUUGAAAGAGUUAUUCUUCACUGUGUGUGUGUGUGUGUGUGUGUGUGUGUGUGUGUGUCUAAGCUCUAAUUGAAGCUUCUUGCUCCAGAAAAAUUCUCAUACUCUCCUACACGUGUUAUUUUGCAAACGACUUCAAAGGGCACUGAUUCCACCUUAAGAACUGCUGAGUUAUUAUGGAAACAGUUGGGGUGAAUGGGGGUCAGGUGGUGAACAUAUAAAAUCGAAGGUUGCAGCAAUGAUUUGGGUGUGGAUCUGGCACUGGUCUAGUUGCCCUGUCAGGCCCUGCCGUCCUGAGCCCUUCCUCUCACUGCCUAAUGAGAGGCAUACCUUUGAUGGACCCAUACCUUUGAUGGACCCAGGCCACCAAAUAUGCGUGUCCCUCAUUCCUACCUGUCACUCGGCCAACCACCUGAGCCACAGGCCAAGGGGGUAAGUUCCCUCCUGCCUCUUCCAUUCUGAGAGUGUUUUCCUAGUGAUACCAAUACCUCAGGGUCCAGACCCAAGGUUCGUCACAGAUGCCACAAGCCUAGACUGAGAAGACCAGCAGACGUCCACAAACCUCAUUCCCUCAUUGCACAGAUGGGAAAGUGAAGGCCCAGAGAAGAGAGAAGUUUCUUCAAGCUCACCUGCGGGUACAGCCGGCGUGGCUGAUCGGGUCCUCUUCAGAUUUGUCAUUUGCCCUCGGCGUGGAUAUUACUCUGCGGACACUCAGAGAAAAGUGCUGCAAAAUAACCUGCAGAUGGGGAUCCCCGCAACUAUACAAAGAGAAAAGCAGAGUGAGAGCAGCAUGGCUUCUCCUCGACGGAAGCUCAGAGAGGUUCAAACACUUGCCUGGGCCACACAGCUAGAAAAUUGAGUCACUGGGUCCAGAAACCAAUGUCUAAUGCUUGGCAAGGUGAGAUGCAGAGAGGAACAAGGACCUAUUUGGGUUGGGAGAUCAGAUUCCCAUGGAUUCCCCAGAGAAGCUGACCCCGGACCAAGCCAACAUAGAUGACAGAGCAGAGAAGAACAUAGCUCUGGAAGACAGAGUCCAGCUCAGCUCAGCCAACCACUCGUGCGAUCUUAGGAAGGCUACUUGCCUCUGAACCCAGCUUCUGCACCUGUGAAGCAAGGGCGCAGCAGCCAGCCCCCAGUUUUGCUCUAGGGCUCAGCUGGCAAAAUGAACGUAAGGCCCGCAAAUAAAGAGCUGACCCGGAGCAAGGGCUCAGUACAUGGUAGCUGUCACCACGAUUCCUGUGACUCGGUGGCAGACGUGGCCCAACUGGGCAUCAUUUACGUGCACGAUGCUUUGGUGGUGCCCUCUGCCUGAGACGGUUCCUGACGGCGAAAUGCUCUAAGUUCUCCACGCCGAGCUGUGCGCGUGGCCAGGAAUUGAGCCCCCCCACCAGAGGGCCCAUUUCCAUGACCAGCGAUGCCAGUGUCCCCUCGCUGGAAAGGGCGACAGGCACAGCUCAGGACACACCAGCCGCCAACAGGCUUCCGAACCCCGCCAAGCCCUCCUGCCCACUCGAGCA